rnacentral:rRNA from 1 species
CCUACGGGUGGCAUCAGUGAGGAAUAUUGGUCAAUGGGCGAGAGCCUGAACCAGCCAAGCCGCGUGAAGGAUGAAGGAUCUAUGGUUUGUAAACUUCUUUUAUAUGGGCAUAAAGUGAGGAACGUGUUCCUUUUUGUAUGUCUCAUAUGAAUAAGCAUCGGCUAACUCCGUGCCAGCAGCCGCGGUAAUACGGAGGAUGCGAGCGUUAUCCGGAUUUAUUGGGUUUAAAGGGUGCGUAGGUGGUUAAUUAAGUCAGCGGUGAAAGUUUGGGGCUCAACCAUAGAAUUGCCGUUGAAACUGGUUGACUUGAGUGUAGUUGAGGUAGGCGGAAUGCGUGGUGUAGCGGUGAAAUGCAUAGAUAGCACGCAGAACACCGAUUGCGAAGGCAGCUUUCUAAUCUAUAACUGACGCUGAAGCACGAAAGCGUGGGGAGCAAACAGGAUUAGAUACCCGAGUAGUC